AGAUACCCCACUAUGCCUAGCCCUAAAUCUAGAUACCUCCCAUCACACAUGUAUCCGCCUGAGAACUACGAGCACAAACGCUUAAAACUCUAAGGACUUGGCGGUGCCCCAAACCCACCUAGAGGAGCCUGUUCUAUAAUCGAUAAUCCACGAUUCACCCAACCACCCCUUGCCAGCACAGCCUACAUACCGCCGUCGCCAGCCCACCUCUAAUGAAAGAACAACAGUGAGCUCAAUAGCCCCUCGCUAAUAAGACAGGUCAAGGUAUAGCCUAUGGGGUGGGAGAAAUGGGCUACAUUUUCUAACAUAGAACAAACGAAAAAGGACGUGAAACCCGCCCUUAGAAGGAGGAUUUAGCAGUAAAGUGAGAUCAUACCCCCUAAGCUCACUUUAAGACGGCUCUGAGGCACGUACACACCGCCGG
rnacentral:rRNA from 1 species